ACAGCAGUAGCCACGGGAAUACAGAGGGUGCGAGCGUUAAUCGGAUUUACUGGGCGUAAAGCGUGCGUAGGCGGCUUUUUAAGUCGGAUGUGAAAUCCCUGAGCUUAACUUAGGAAUUGCAUUCGAUACUGGGAAGCUAGAGUAUGGGAGAGGAUGGUAGAAUUCCAGGUGUAGCGGUGAAAUGCGUAGAGAUCUGGAGGAAUACCGAUGGCGAAGGCAGCCAUCUGGCCUAAUACUGACGCUGAGGUACGAAAGCAUGGGGAGCAAACAGGAUUAGAUACCCGUGUAGUCCCUGUCUCUUAUAA
rnacentral:rRNA from 1 species